UGGAGCUGUUUUGUGUGAAAAGUCAGCGUCUCCGUCUCUCUCUAUAAACCCAUUCUCUUUUGUUUUGUUUGUUAUUGAAGAGGAACAAUCAGUUUCAACCCCCCAAAAACCUGUUCCUUAAUUUGCUUUUUCUUGCUUCUUAACAGCCAAAUCCAGGAGAAAGCCUUUCUUCUCACACCCCCUUCUUAAUUAUCUCUAGCUAGCACCAAACAAAUAAAAUUCCCGCAACAUUUGCAUGUCUCUCAUCAUAUCUUUCUCUAAUUAUAUUGUUGUCUCAAGCUCCAACAUCCAUCAUCUAUGCUAGUUUCAAAACAUGUCACACACACACGCCCUUCUUCCUUGCAUAACAUCAACAAGCUCAAGCUCUUGUUCUUGUUCUUGUUCUUCCACUAAUAACUAGGAAAAGAAAAAGCAUGUGCAGCAGCAUCUUUGGGCCAAUAAUCAUGGACAAUUACCAAGGUGACUUAACUGACAUACUCCGAGCCAGUGGUGGAGCAUAUGGUAGCACAGGCACAGGCACAGGCACUUCAUCAUCUGAUCAAUUACCUACUACAUCUCAUCAUCUUCAUCAUCAUUCCUCUCACACCACCCUCUCUCAUAAUGAUCACUGGCACCACCAACACUUCUCUUCUUCUUCUUCUUCUGAUCCCAUCACUUUCUCUUCUUCUUCUUCUUCUUCUUCUUCGGUGCUAAUUCAAGACCCUAUGAGAGGAGCCACAAACUUUGGUGAUCCUUUCUCAAUCAUGAGAGAUCCCUUCCUUCAGGUGCUUGACAUGCCUUCUUCAGCUUCUGCCUACUUCACUGGUGGCUUGGAAUUAGAAGCAGCUGCAACUUUUGGUGCUGCAGUCAAUACUAAUUCUAAUACUGCUACUAGUUCUACUACUAAUACUAAUACUACUACCACUACUGUUUUUGCUGCUGCACACAAGAUGCUUGUGGAACAUGACAACAAUAGCAUGAGAAGGCCUUGUAAAAACAUAUUCUCAAACAUGAUUCAGAUCUCUCCCAAUGCAAAGUUACCAGUCUCACCCUAUGAUUCCACCACCACAGCCAUGGCACCUUCUCCAAGGCCAAUUAAGCCUCCUGCUGUGGUUUCACCCAACAUUAUGCUGAAUGCAAACACCUCCAAGGAGUGCCUUGUGGACACCACAGGAAUGCAGAUCUCAUCUCCACGGAAUCCGGGUCUUAAAAGAAGGAAGAACCAGGCUAAAAAGGUUGUUUGUAUUCCUGCACCAGCAGCUACAAACAGCAGACAGACUGGAGAGGUAGUUCCGUCUGAUUUGUGGGCUUGGAGAAAAUAUGGUCAGAAACCCAUUAAAGGUUCACCUUAUCCCAGGGGUUACUACAGAUGCAGCAGCUCUAAGGGUUGCUCUGCGAGGAAGCAAGUUGAGAGGAGCAGGAAUGAUCCAAACAUGUUGGUUAUCACAUACACAUCAGAGCACAACCAUCCAUGGCCAACUCAAAGAAAUGCUCUGGCUGGUUCAACAAGAUCACAGCCAUCCAAGAACAACAACAAUGCUGCUUCCAAUUCAAAGAAUUCAGAAGGCUCAAACCCCCAAAAGGGCACAGCUACAAGAACAAAGGAUGAAGAAGAGAGCAACAAUAAUAACAAUAGUGAGGGAAAUGUGUCCCCAGUUAUGGCUGGGAACUCAUCAAACAGUGUGAAGGAAGAGAAUAUGGAAGACAUAGAGAGGCAUCAGAUUGAGAUGGAUGAGGGAGAGUUUAGUGAUGGACUCCCUUAUAAGCCUAGUUUGAUGGAUCAGAGUACUAAUAACCAACAAUCUGAGGACUUCUUUGCUGAGUUGGGAGAAAUAGAAGCUGACCCACUUGACCUUUUGUUCACACAGGGUUUUGGUGGUGCUGAUGAUCAAAGGGAAUCCAAGUCCUUAGAUCCAUUUCAUCUCUUUGACUGGUCAGGAGACAACAACACCAACACCAACACAAGUAGUUCAUUUGAAGAACCUAAUAAUAAGAGAAGGUUAUAACAAGACCUAGAAAAAAAAAAGGCAUGCAGCACCUCCCUCACAAAAGACCUUAAUAUUACGAUGAUCAUGCUUUUAAGUUUUAUUUGGUGGUGCAAAUAUCAUUCAAGAACAGUCAAGGAGAUAAAAUUAGUAGAGUGAAAAAAAAAAAAGAGUGCUGGUUGAUUGGAAGCAAACUCAACGAGUCCCACAUUCCUUUUGGAAUAUUGGUGGAUGGGACAGAAAGCUGAGGAACAGAAGGUUACAACAGUUAAAACAAGUACAUUCACUAUAGACAUGACUCGAAAGCUCAGUGAGUAGAUUAAUGAUGAUAAUGGGAUGGGACUAGCCCUUUCAUCUUUUCAAGUGGGAAAAAUUAUUUAAAAGCUCAUGUGGGGUUUUCUACACAAAGUGAAAAAAUAAAAGAGAGAGAUCAGAGAUUUUCUUGCUGAGGUGAAAUAUAUGAAAGAAGACAAAAGAAUAUAUAUAGGGUUAUAGUUAAGUUAUAUAUUAUAUUAUUAUCAUACUAUAAUAUAGAGCUUGACUUUUCAUAUCAGUCAUUUCUAGGAUGUGUGACGUGAGAGGGGAAAAUGCAUGCUUUGGUUCCUCGGCUUUCUGUUUUUUAUUAUCCACCAACUCAUGUUCAUUGUUUUGAAUGAGAUGAGAUUACUUUAUUAUAUGUUUCUUACACUAGUUAUUAAUUACAUUUUGAUUCUAUUGUUUUAUUAUCAUUAAAAAAAUGGUCAUUUAUAUAUUCUGGGUCUUAUCUGUUA